rnacentral:rRNA from 1 species
CAAAUGACACUUCGGUUGAUUUUGGAAAAGGACAGCGGCGGACGGGUGAGUAACGCGUAGGCAACCUGCCCCUGACAGAGGGAUAGCCAUUGGAAACGAUGAUUAAAACCUCAUAACGCCGAAGGAACACAUGUUUCAUCGGCCAAAGAUUUAUCGGUCAGGGGUGGGCCUGCGUCUGAUUAACUAGUUGGUGAGGUAACGGCCCACCAAGGUGACGAUCAGUAGCCGACCUGAGAGGGUGAUCGGCCACAUUGGAACUGAGACACGGUCCAAACUUCUACGGAAGGCAGCAGUAGGGAAUCUUGCACAAUGGGCGAAAGCCUGAUGCAGCAACGCCGCGUGAAGGAUGAAGGCCUUCGGGUUGUAAACUUCUGUUCUUAGGGAAGAAGAAAGUGACGGUACCUAAGGAGAAAGCCCCGGCUAACUACGUGCCAGCAGCCGCGGUAAUACGUAGGGGGCAAGCGUUAUCCGGAAUUAUUGGGCGUAAAGAGUGCGUAGGUGGUUAUCUAAGCGUAAGGUUUAAGCGUGCAGCUCAACUGCAUCUCG